rnacentral:rRNA from 1 species
UACGAAGGGUGCAAACGUUGCUCGGAAUCAUUGGGCGUAAAGCGCACGUAGGCGGCCUUGUAAGUCGGAUGUGAAAUCCCUCGGCUCAACCGAGGAAGUGCAUCCGAAACUGCGGGGCUCGAGUAUGGAAGAGGGUCGCAGAAUUCCCGGUGUAGAGGUGAAAUUCGUAGAUAUCGGGAGGAAUACCAGUGGCGAAGGCGGCGACCUGGGCCAAUACUGACGCUGAGGUGCGAAAGCGUGGGGAGCAAACAGG